AUUGCACAAUGGGGGAAACCCUGAUGCAGCGACGCCGCGUGAGUGAGGAAGUAUUUCGGUAUGUAAAGCUCUAUCAGCAGGGAAUAGAAAAGAAGGUACCUGAAAAAGAAGCCCCGGCUAACUACGUGACAGCAGCCGCGGUAAUACGUAGGGGGCAAGCGUUAUCCGGAUUUACUGGGUGUAAAGGGAGCGUAGACGGAAUUGCAAGUCUGAUGUGAAAAUCCGAGGCUCAACCCCGGAACUGCAUUGGAAACUGUAUUUCUAGAGUGUCGGAGAGGCAAGUGGAAUUCCUGGUGUAGCGGUGAAAUGCGUAGAUAUCAGGAGGAACACCAGUGGCGAAGGCGGCUUGCUGGACGAUGACUGACGUUGAGGCUCGAAAGCGUGGGGAGCAAACAGG
rnacentral:rRNA from 1 species